AGCACUGUAUUCACAAACCGAGGUCAACAAGCCCUAGCCUACAUCCGCUUACAUCAUACAUGUGACCUCAUAGCUACCAAAGAGAGGGCUGUACGUGUCAUAAUAGCCUCACUCUAUCAGAAGAUCGCACUUGGGCAUCACACAAGACAUUCACCUCCAGCCUUGUUUGGAAGCAGCAAGUACCAUCAAAGACACCAUGGCCGCUCACAAGCAAUUGAGAAGAACUGCCGCUCACAAGCAGCGUAGAACAACCCAUCGUAGGAAACGGAGGACUCAGAGGACUCGCAGACAGCCUAACAUAGGACACAAGCGUAGACAGCGCUAUUCCUACAGGAGGAGACGGGUGUAGCCAAAUGAACAGUGACCUGAUCCUGGUGACACUGAUAAGAUCUUCUCUCCUGACCCCUUGAUGCCAUGAUGACCAUCCGAAACUUCAUAGCCUGUCACCAAAUCACCAGCAAGAAAUAAAGACUCUGAGCAGAGUA